AGAGUUUGAUCCUGGCUCAGGACGAACGCUGGCGGCGUGCCUAAUGCAUGCAAGUCGAACGCAGCAGCUUCGGCUGGCUGCGUGGCGAACGGCUGAGGAACACGUGGGUGACCUGCCCCAGAGUGGGGGAUACCCCGUCGAAAGACGGGAUAAUCCCGCAUACGCUCUACGGAGGAAAGCCCCUACGGGCGCUCUGGGAGGGGCCUGCGGCCCAUCAGGUUGUUGGUGUGGUAACGGCGCACCAAGCCACUGACGGGUACCCGGUCUGAGAGGACGGCCGGGCAGACUGGGACUGCGACACGGCCCAGACUCCUACGGGAGGCAGCAGCAAGGAAUUUUCCCCAAUGGGCGCAAGCCUGAGGGAGCAACGCCGCGUGGAGGACGACGGCCUUCGGGUUGUAAACUCCUUUCGGGUGGGACGACUCCGACGGUACCACCAGAAGCAGCCCCGGCUAACUCUGUGCCAGCAGCCGCGGUAAGACAGAGGGGGCAAGCGUUGUCCGGAGUUACUGGGCGUAAAGGGCGCGGAGGCGGUCUGCGGCGUCGGCGCUGAAAGCGCCCCGCUUAACGGGGCGAGGCGUGCCGAUACGCGCAGACUUGAGGCGAGCAGAGGGUGGUGGAAUUCCGGGUGGAGCGGUGAAAUGCGUAGAGAUCCGGAGGAACGCCAGUGGGGAAGCCGGCCACCUGGGCUCGGCCUGACGCUGCGGCGCGACCGCGUGGGGAGCAAACCGGAUUGGAUACCCGGGUAGUCCACGCCGUAAACGAUGCCAGCUAAGGGAGUGGCGCACGGUUGUGCGCUGCGUGCCUUAGCUCACGCGAUAAGCUGGCCGCCUGGGACUACGAGCGCGUAUAG
rnacentral:rRNA from 1 species